UGAACGCUGGCGGCGUGCCUAACACAUGCAAGUCGUACGAGAAAUCCCGAGCUUGCUUGGGAGAGUAAAGUGGCGCACGGGUGAGUAACGCGUGGGUAACCCACCUUCGAAUCUGGGAUAACUCCGCGAAAGCGGUGCUAAUACCGGAUAAGACCACAGCCGUUUCGGCGGCAGAGGUAAAAGCUGACCUCUCCAUGGAAGUUAGCGUUCGAGGACGGGCCCGCGUCCUAUCAGCUUGUUGGUGGGGUAAAGGCCUACCAAGGCAGCGACGGGUAGCUGGUCUGAGAGGAUGAUCAGCCACACUGGAACUGGAACACGGUCCAGACUCCUACGGGAGGCAGCAGUGAGGAAUUUUGCGCAAUGGGGGAAACCCUGACGCAGCAACGCCGCGUGGGUGAAGAAGGCUUUCGGGUCGUAAAGCCCUGUCAGGUGGGAAGAACCGUUUCGAUACUAAUAAUGUCGAAGCCUGACGGUACCACCAGAGGAAGCACCGGCCAACUCC
rnacentral:rRNA from 1 species